rnacentral:rRNA from 1 species
AGUGAGCGCUGGCGGUAGGCCUAACACAUGCAAGUCGAACGGCAGCACAGUAAGAGCUUGCUCUUACGGGUGGCGAGUGGCGGACGGGUGAGGAAUACAUCGGAAUCUACUUUUUCGUGGGGGAUAACGUAGGGAAACUUACGCUAAUACCGCAUACGACCUACGGGUGAAAGCAGGGGAUCUUCGGACCUUGCGCGUUUGAAUGAGCCGAUGUCGGAUUAGCUAGUUGGCGGGGUAAAGGCCCACCAAGGCGACGAUCCGUAGCUGGUCUGAGAGGAUGAUCAGCCACACUGGAACUGAGACACGGUCCAGACUCCUACGGGAGGCAGCAGUGGGGAAUAUUGGACAAUGGGCGCAAGCAUGAUCCAGCCAUACCGCGUGGGUGAUGAAGGCCUUCGGGUUGUAAAGCCCUUUUGUUGGGAAAGAAAAGCAGCAGGUUAAUACCCCGCUGUUCUGACGGUACCCAAAGAAUAAGCACCGGCUAACUUCGUG